GGAUACAGCUUGGUGGCCUAUCCUGUCCAUAUGGGCGUACAUCAACAGCAUGGUGCACAAGUCCGGCAAACAGCGACGAGGAGCAUCUCGAGGGGUUCAAGGCCGAAGAGGAAGCGGCCCUCCCGGCGUGCGUCAGCUAGGCCUGACGAACACAAUGAGGAGAACCACAGAUUAAUUGUAGGAGACUCCCCUCCUGGCACCGUGCGAGAGCGAGGUCGCUGACGAUAAGGGCUUCUGAAUGAACCUGAUGGAGGCCAUGCACUAGCACACGGCGCCACCGACCAUAUCCGCAGUAGAUAAUUGGAUUUAUUGUCGGGCUAGUCGCUGUUCAUCGGUGAUGGUGCCCCUCUUAGAGCAUCCGGAAUUCUCUUGAAUCGAUGGUGGCCACCUGUAUCACCCACAUUCUGGGAGGAAACCUGACACAAGGUAGGGUGCUGCCACCCAUGGACAUAGUCACCAUUUAGACGGAUCAUGUCAUCAUGGAAGACACUUGUCAGAACUCACCCUGAUCAUUAGAUAUGCAGGGCUAUCGAAGUGCCUUAGGCUGGCUCAUGUUACGGUUCAACUGUGCCUCCUAGUUGACCGGCCGGUGCUAAUCCCCUCGGUUGGUCUUCUGCUUUGCUGAUUGCCUCACCAUCGCCCUCACAGCUCCACCACCUCCUGUACUCUAGCGUCACUAUCACCGACGUGCAUUUUGUACUAGUGUUUCUGGUUAUCUAUUUCUCCAUGUUAUCAUUCAUUGACUGAACAAUUGCCGAAAGUAGUGUGUAAUUUGGAUCUUGUUACUGUCGUCCC